AAAAUCCGUCGACUUUAUAAAU
rnacentral:tRNA from 1 species